GAGGCUUGGUUGGUAAACACCACGAGCCAUAAUGUAGCAUUGUUUUCGGUUUCGAGGCUUGCCCGGGCAUAUAUAUAGUGUCUUUUUCGAUUCUCAGUUGUCAGUGCACUCAGCUUUUGCACAGAUUUCAAGCCCGGCUUUGGAAUCCAGUUGAGAAUUUGUAUUGAGCAAUGGCCUCCAAGAUAUUCAUGUUGCUUGCUAUCAUGGUUCUUGCAUUCGCCGCUUUGACAUCUCCUGGCGAGGGUGCUUCGGUAUCCUUCAAGCUCACUGAAGAUGUGUCUGAUCCGUCAGCAAGUGGCUGUUUUGGUUUGUGCCCCAGUUUCUGUACCGGAGGUUGCCAUUGCUACUGCGUCCCCAACAGAGGCGGGGCGAUGUGCCACUGGGUGUGUAACUUUGGACGCCGAUAGUUUGCAGCAGAAAUAGAUAAUACCAGAAAAUUUGAUUCAAAGAAAAGCUACGCAUGUAUUGUAAGGAUAAAAACUAAACAAGAUAAGAAUACAUAAAUAAAUAGUAAUUUUUAUAUUCAA